UUCUUCUUCUUCUUCUCCCAAGCCGGGAUCCGCUGCGCACGACAACACUCGAAUCCCACGAUCGCCGACUCCCCCUCGAGCCCAAGCCCCAGCCGGACGAUCGCCAACCCCGGCGACGCUGAGCUUCCUCAGAUUGUUGAGCCUUUUACUGCUCACUAUGUGUUUGCCCUGGGAGUUGCAAGGUUCUUGAGUUGUGCUCAUUGGGUUCUCUAGGUUUUGGAUACUCGAGGUCGGCUAUUGACAGCUUUUGGUUAUGGAUUAUGGCCUUCUAUGGUUCUUAUUUCAGAGAUUGUCCAAACAUUCAUAUUAGCCGAACUUAUGAUAUUACUAUGCCAAAAGUGUUAUUGGAAGACAGCUUGUAUUACGUCUUUCCUCAGGGGUCGUUUGAUGGGGC